rnacentral:rRNA from 1 species
AACGCGAAGAACCUUACCAAGGCUUGACAUGUCGGAAGUAGCAACCCGAAAGGGGAGUGACCUGUUAAGUCAGGAACCGCCACAGGUGCUGCAUGGCUGUCGUCAGCUCGUGCCGUGAGGUGUUGGGCUAAGUCCCGUAACGAGCGCAACCCUCGUUGCCAGUUAUUUUCUCUGGCGAGACUGCCCCGCAAAUCGGGGAGGAAGGUGAGGAUGACGUCAAGUCAGCACGGCCCUUACGCCUUGGGCUACACACACGCUACAAUGGGUGGCACAAAAGGUAGCAAUGGAGCGAUCCGGAGCCAAUCCCAAAAAGCCAUCCUCAGUUCGGAUUGCAGGCUGAAAUCCGCCUGCAUGAAGUUGGAGUUGCUAGUAACCGCAGGUCAGCAUACUGCGGUGAAUACGUUCUCGGGCCUUGUACACACCGCCCGUCACGUCAUGAAAGUCGGCAACACCUGAAGUCGAUGGGCUAACCCCGAUUUAUCGGGGAGGCAGUCGCCGAGGGUGGGGUUGAUGAUUGGGACGAAGUCGUAACAAGGUAACCUUAAUUAAAA